CGAUAGCCUUUUGAUGUGUACUAGCUCGAAUCCGAUGUUGGUCGGUAAGUAAGUGAGCUUGUUGUAGCUCACAUCUACAUCCUCCAAAGACCUGUAAAAUGUCGAAAACAGAAACUCGGAGUUUGUAAUGCUGUCGGGUAGGGCAGUGAUGUUGUUCUUGGACACAUUCAAGCCUCGUAACUUCGACAACAGACAUAUGGAAUCGGGCAGUGUGGAUAGAAAAUUCGAUGCAAGGUUGAGUUCCUCCAGGUUUUCUAACUCUCCAACUGCACCAGGAAUUGCCUGUUUCACUCACCAAAAUUGGGUUCACUUUACUCCAUUAUCGCCAUUGAUGAAAAACCUCAAUACACACAGCAAUAGGGCAUAAGACCUUAUAGAAAUUAAUGUACGUAGCAUCAAUUAUCACAAAAUUGCAAAUCGGAACUGCAUUUCAAGCAAGGUUUGAAGAUAGCUUAAAAUUCAUCAGUAAUGGCUAGAGAGUGGUAGCGUUUACCUCAAGGCGGUU